UCCACCGUGAGGUGGAAUCUGAAGGAAGCCGGCGACAAACUCCUGUACCGAGGAACACGAACCAUAUCAGGCACAAAUGGGGCGGAUGAGUCUGCUAUACAAGAUAAAGUCCAAUACUGCCCGAACCCCACAGUGUAAAUAUGGCGGCGAUAGGACGAAGGAGACAGUG
rfam:Bacillus selenitireducens MLS10, complete genome.